UACGAAGGGGGCUAGCGUUGCUCGGAAUCACUGGGCGUAAAGGGCGCGUAGGCGGCCAUUCAAGUUGGAGGUGAAAGCCCAGGGCUCAACCCUGGAAUUGCCUUCGAUACUGUCUGGCUAGAGACCGGAAGAGGUGAGUGGAAUUCCGAGUGUAGAGGUGAAAUUCGUAGAUAUUCGGAAGAACACCAGUGGCGAAGGCGGCUCACUGGACCGGUAUUGACGCUGAGGUGCGAAAGCGUGGGGAGCAAACAGG
rnacentral:rRNA from 1 species